AUGGGCGAUGGGUUGAUGAUACAAGAGGGAAGUUUUGUAAAAGCAAUAGGAAGAAUUGCUCAGAUACCCGUGAGUGAGGCUUACUUGGGUCGUGUUGUAAAUGCUCUGGCUAAACCUAUUGAUGGGAAAGGCGAAAUUAUAGCUUCCGAAUCUUGCUUAAUUGAAUCUCCUGCUCCAAGUAUAAUUUCCAGGCGUUCUGUAUACGAACUUCUUCAAACAAGGCUUAUUGCUAUCGAUUCGAUGAUCCCUAUAGGGCACGGUCAGCGAGAGUUAAUUAUUGGGGACAGACAGACUGGCAAAACAGCAGUAGCCACAGAUACAAUUCUCAAUCAAAAAGGGCAAGGUGUAAUAUGUGUUUAUGUAGCUAUCGGUCAAAGAGCAUCCUCCGUAGCUCAAGUAGUAACUACUUUCCAUGAGGAGGGGGCCAUGGAAUACACUAUUGUAGUAGCUGAAAUGGCGGAUUCACCUGCUACAUUACAAUACCUCGCUCCUUAUACGGGAGCAGCCCUGGCUGAGUAUUUUAUGUACCGUGAACGACAUAAUUUAAUAAUUUAUGAUGAUCUCUCCAAACAGGCACAAGCUUAUCGCCAAAUGUCCCUUCUAUUAAGAAGACCUCCUGGCCGUGAGACUUAUCCAAGGGUUGUUUUUUUAUUUGCAUUCACGCCUUUUAGAAAGAGCCGCUAA
rnacentral:rRNA from 1 species